AUGGUGAGAGCAGCGGCCCUGGUGGAAGCGUGGUAGCCCCUAGAAGGUCCAGGAUGGAACACAGAAGCUUUCCCUUGGGAUAUGUGAGUGCUCCAGCAGUUGUAAAGAGAGCUCUGAACAUAUGUGAGUGAGGAGAGCAAUUGAGGCCUUUGGAAUGAGUACACAUCCAGGAGUGAAGAAGACAAGCUCAACUGCCAUUCUCUGAGCAGUUCAAGGCAUACUGAGUUGCGGGAGUUGUGUGGUGGUCCACUCUGACUGCAAGCACCCCUUUCUUGAACCGAACAGAGUCAAGUGGAAUCAAAGGACAUUACCUGUUGAUUCUUGGGCAAGGCCCAGAAUUUGGUGGACAUACUUAAAGAAGAAAGGAAUCUUCAGCUAAAGUGUCUACGAUCAAUUCAGAUUUGGAGGGCAUGGAUCUUCUGACAGUAGGGGCCAUUCUAGGAUUUUUUGGUUGAAGAGAUGAACUUCAACUUGGUUCCAGAUGGGUGGUCCAGCUAUUCUGCUGACAACAUUUUUCAGGGCAAGGCUUUUGCUACUGGAAUGAUUUAAGGAAGAUCCCUCAGUGUUUCAGAGUAAAGAUAUUUCUAAAGAAGUACCUGUGUCAUUGCCCAUCUUGAAGAUUGACUUUUAUGGAUUGCUCAAAUACUGAUAUCAGCUCAAUGUCAAUAUAUACUCCUACAUAUAAAAUCCAUCUUCUAAUCAUAAUCACUAGGUAAGAUGCUAGUGCAAGUUGAAGUUCUUAAAGGAGAUGACCUGAACAGCCUUCUUAGUGUACCAGGGAGACCAGAUUGAGUUUAAACUAUGUUUACCCUGCACUCAGACACGCCUAGGUGUGUCUGGGAGAUUAGUAGAUGGUGUUCAACAAGGAUCUAUUUAAACAAGGGAGACAUUAAUUUGGAUUCCUUUGGUUGUAAAUUUCCAAAAAAAAAAAAAAG
rnacentral:lncRNA from 1 species